rnacentral:rRNA from 1 species
UACGGGGGGGGCAAGCGUUGUUCGGAAUUACUGGGCGUAAAGGGCUCGUAGGCGGCCAACUAAGUCGGAUGUGAAAUCCCCAAGCUUAACUUGGGAACUGCAUCCGAUACUGGAUGGCUUGAAUCCGGGAGAGGGAUGCAGAAUUCCAGGUGUAGCGGUGAAAUGCGUAGAUAUCUGGAGGAAUACCGGUGGCGAAGGCGGCAUCCUGGACCGGUAUUGACGCUGAUGCGCGAAAGCCAGGGGAGCAAACGGG